rnacentral:rRNA from 1 species
AACGUGGACCCGUUACCCGGGUUGCGGACAGUGUCUGGUGGGUAGUUUGACUGGGGCGGUCUCCUCCUAAAGAGUAACGGAGGAGCACGAAGGUUGGCUAAUCCUGGUCGGACAUCAGGAGGUUAGUGCAAUGGCAUAAGCCAGCUUGACUGCGAGCGUGACGGCGCGAGCAGGUGCGAAAGCAGGUCAUAGUGAUCCGGUGGUUCUGAAUGGAAGGGCCAUCGCUCAACGGAUAAAAGGUACUCCGGGGAUAACAGGCUGAUACCGCCCAAGAGUUCAUAUCGACGGCGGUGUUUGGCACCUCGAUGUCGGCUCAUCACAUCCUGGGGCUGAAGUAGGUCCCAAGGGUAUGGCUGUUCGCCAUUUAAAGUGGUACGCGAGCUGGGUUUAGAACGUCGUGAGACAGUUCGGUCCCUAUCUGCCGUGGGCGCUGGAGAACUGAGGGGGGCUGCUCCUAGUACGAGAGGACCGGAGUGGACGCAUCACUGGUGUUCGGGUUGUCAUGCCAAUGGCACUGCCCGGUAGCUAAAUGCGGAAGAGAUAAGUGCUGAAAGCAUCUAAGCACGAAACUUGCCCCGAG